GACGAACGCUGGCGGCGCGCCUAACACAUGCAAGUCGAACGAGCGAGAGAGAGCUUGCUUUCUCGAGCGAGUGGCGAACGGGUGAGUAACGCGUGAGGAACCUGCCUCAAAGAGGGGGACAACAGUUGGAAACGACUGCUAAUACCGCAUAAGCCCACGGUGCCGCAUGGCACAGAGGGAAAAGGAGCAAUCCGCUUUGAGAUGGCCUCGCGUCCGAUUAGCUAGUUGGUGAGGUAAUGGCCCACCAAGGCGACGAUCGGUAGCCGGACUGAGAGGUUGAACGGCCACAUUGGGACUGAGACACGGCCCAGACUCCUACGGGAGGCAGCAGUGGGGAAUAUUGCACAAUGGGGGAAACCCUGAUGCAGCGACGCCGCGUGGAGGAAGAAGGUCUUCGGAUUGUAAACUCCUGUUGUUGGGGAAGAUAAUGACGGUACCCAACAAGGAAGUGGCGGCUAACUACGUG
rnacentral:rRNA from 1 species